AUUGAACGCUGGCGGCAUGUUUUACACGUGCAAGUCGAACGGUAACAGGCCGCAAGGUGCUGACGAGUGGCGAACGGGUGAGUAAUGCAUCGGAACGUGCCCAGUCGUGGGGGAUAACUACUCGCAAGAGUAGCUAAUACCGCAUACGAUCUAUGGAUGAACGCGGGGGACCGUAAGGCCUCGCUCGAUUGGAGCGGCCGAUGUCAGAUUAGGUAGUUGGUGGGGUAAAGGCUCACCAAGCCAACGAUCUGUAGCUGGUCUGAGAGGACGACCAGCCUCACUGGGACUGAGACACGGCCCAGACUCCUACGGGAGGCAGCAGUGGGGAAUUUUGGACAAUGGGCGCAAGCCUGAUCCAGCAAUGCCGCGUGCAGGAAGAAGGCCUUCGGGUUGUAAACUGCUUUUGUACGGAACGAAACGGCUCUGGUUAAUACCCGGGGCUAAUGACGGUACCGUAAGAAUAAGCACCGGCUAGCUACGUG
rnacentral:rRNA from 1 species